UAUACUGUGAAACUGCGAAUGGCUCAUUAAAUCAGUUAUUGUUUUUAAUAGUACCUUACUACAUGGAUAACCGUGGUAAUUCUAGAGCUAAUACAUGCUAAAAACCCCGACUUCGGAAGGGGUGUAUUUAUUAGAUAAAAAACCAAUGCCCUUCGGGGCUCCUUGGUGAAUCAUGAUAACUUAACGAAUCGCAUGGCCUUGCGCCGGCGAUGGUUCAUUCAAAUUUCUGCCCUAUCAACUUUCGAUGGUAGGAUAGUGGCCUACCAUGGUAGCAACGGGUAACGGGGAAUUAGGGUUCUAUUCCGGAGAGGGAGCCUGAGAAACGGCUACCACAUCCAAGGAAGGCAGCAGGCGCGCAAAUUACCCAAUCCCGACACGGGGAGGUAGUGACAAUAAAUACUGAUACAGGGCUCUUUCGAGUCUUGUAAUUGGAAUGAGUACAAUUUAAAUACCUUAACGAGGAACAAUUGGAGGGCAAGUCUGGUGCCAGCAGCCGCGGUAAUUCCAGCUCCAAUAGCGUAUAUUAAAGUUGUUGCAGUUAAAAAGCUCGUAGUUGAACCUUGGGCCUGGCUGGCCGGUCCGCCUCACCGCGUGUACUGGUCCGGCCGGGCCUUUCCUUCUGGGGAUCCGCAUGCCCUUCACUGGGUGUGUCGGGGAACCAGGACUUUUACUUUGAAAAAAUUAGAGUGUUCAAAGCAGGCCUUUGCUCGAAUACAUUAGCAUGGAAUAAUAGAAUAGGACGUGCGGUCCUAUUUUGUUGGUUUCUAGGACCGCCGUAAUGAUUAAUAGGGAUAGUCGGGGGCAUCAGUAUUCAAUUGUCAGAGGUGAAAUUCUUGGAUUUAUUGAAGACUAACUACUGCGAAAGCAUUUGCCAAGGAUGUUUUCAUUAAUCAGUGAACGAAAGUUAGGGGAUCGAAGACGAUCAGAUACCGUCGUAGUCUUAACCGUAAACUAUGCCGACUAGGGAUCGGGCGAUGUUAUUAUUUUGACUCGCUCGGCACCUUACGAGAAAUCAAAGUC
rnacentral:rRNA from 1 species